rnacentral:sRNA from 1 species
UCGACUAAGGUUCGAUUCGAGCGCAGCGAGAAAGCGUUGCCGCAGGCAACGACCCGAAGGGCGAAGCGCGCAGCGCUGAGUAAUCCUUCCCCCAUCACCA